AAGCAGAGGCAAAUAACUCUGGGCUCUGCAGGAGCCAGCGCACCAGAGGGCCCCUCUCUCCUCCCCACCUGCCCCAUCAGCCUCAACGCAUCUCACCGCCGACUGGGAGAAGUACAAGCUCCAGGAAACAAUCAAGAGAGGCCACUGGUUACUACAGAGAGAAGAAAGGGUCUGGGAGCGGGGAGAGGGAGAAUUACAAUGUGACUCCUCAAGCUAGUCCACUUCCAGCGCAUCUUCUCAACCUUGGCCUGAGCUAAUGAACCUCAGAGAGCAAAGCUGUCUUUUGUUUGUUUGUCAUUUUGAGGUUUUCUGGUUGAUUAAGAUCUACGCCAGCAGGAGGGUAUACAAUCACCAGCAAUUCUUAGCUGGAGGAUCACAGGGCAUUUUCAUCCCCUCCUGACAAAAUGCUGAACUUCUUAUCAGAAUGCUGUCCCAUCCACUUUAGAUGAGAGAAACUGUUAAAAGGAUUUUUUUUUUUCUUUCUCCUUUUCCAUUUGAAUUGUUAUUUUUUUCCUCCUCUUAUCAUUUUCUGCUUUGUUUCACACCCCCUGUAAAUCAAGUUUCUUUUAAAAGAGCAAAAAUUGAAUUCCUAGUUACAGACAAAAACUACAAAUGAAUCUCACUCUGAAUGAGGCCAAAGGAAGAAAAAGAAAUCUCUUAGCGGGUGACACUUGGAGGUUUACUCUUCCUCAUCAAACCCUGGUCUUCCUUUUUCCGUGGAUUGUUUUGUCAGCCCCAACCAAUACCCAACCUGCGUCCUUGAAACCCCUGCCUCCUGCUGGAGAAAGAACUCAGACUUCAGAGCCUCAUUCUUCUGGGGGAACGUAAUUAUCUAAACUGGCAUGGAUCCCGAAUUCAGCUCCUCCAUGAAAAGGAUUUCUUAUGAAAGAUUAAGUGGUAACACAUAUGUCGACAGCGCUCCCAGCCCUGGAGUAAUUCUGUGCAAACAAGAAAAUGGCAACAGUUCCUGUUUCCAAUCUGAAAACUCUCCCUGGGUCUCUUUUGGCCCCAGGUGGCACAGAGCUCUUGAAUUUGUUCAGGUGUUUUGUCUCGGGAGCCAAGAGACAGGUGAGGGGGGAAGAACAGGCUUAUUCACCGUGAGCGUUAAGGGAAUGGGAGCCAGGGAAGCAGCUGGCCAGCAGGCAGCCAUAGGAGGCCGGCUGAUUUAGGGACGCUGCACAGGCCACCAGGCCUGUUUCUUGCAGCCUUUGGCCUUAGCCGGCAUGGCAACACUGCCCUCUGCUGGAGCAGCUCAGUCAUCGCGCCCCGCCCGAGAUUGGAUGGUCAAGGACAAUGCUGGGAACAUGGUGGGGAGAAGAAGGAUUUGACAAGCUGGCACUGACAUGCGUUCCAAGCAGCCGGGGACCACCAGUGGGCAGCCUGGGAAGCUGGCCUACCUGAAACCACAGCUUUGUCAUCGCCUCUGCUUUGCUGAACCACAGCGAUCCAGCCCUCCCCACCUCGCCUGGAUUGUGGAUGAUGUGGGGACCUGAAUGACGUUAGCAUGGGGUGGGAGGGAUGACCAGGUUCCAGAAGAGAAGGACAGUGCCUGACCCAGGAGUCAUUCAUUUAGGGGACAGAGAAUAAGAUUCAGAGCCCACAAAGAGUUAGUCCAAUCUCUUUAUUUUACUGAGACCCAGAAAUGGAGAGUAACUUAUCUAAGAUCACUUAGCUAGAGUGGGAGAAACAUGACAAGUAUUCAAGGCUCCUGUCUAUAACAGUUAGAACUACCGCUGCUGCUGGUGCAGUUGCUUCUACUUGCUGUUCCCAUCACCACACUAAACGCUUUAUGUGAUUGCCUCAUUCACUCCUUAAAACAAUUGUAUGGGGGGGGGUAUUAUGAUUAUGCCCAUUUUACCGUGUGAUAACUGAAGCUUAGAGAGGUUAUGUUACUUCCCUAAGCUCUA
ensembl:lncRNA